GGAUGGUCAGCCACACUGGGACUGAGACACUGCCCAGACUCCUACGGGAGGCUGCAGUCGAGAAUCGUUGAAAUGCGCGAAAGCGUGAUCACGCGACGCUGCGUGGAGGAUGAAGGCCUUCGGGUCGUAAACUCUUGUCAUUCGGGAAAGAUGGUCCCGGCAGAAAUAUGGUCGGGGUCUUGAUGGUACCGAAAGAGGAAGCCACGGCUAACUCUGUGCCAGCAGCCGCGGUAAUACAGAGGUGGCGAGCGUUGUUCGGAUUUACUGGGCGUAAAGGGUGCGUAGGUGGUUUCGUAUGUCGGAUGUGAAAACCCAUGGCUCAACUAUGGAAUUGCAUCUGAAACUGCGGGACUAGAGUGCAGGAGGGGAGAGUGGAAUUCUUGGUGUAGCGGUGAAAUGCGUUGAUAUCAAGAAGAACACCGGUGGCGGAGGCGGCUCUCUGGAAUGUUACUGACACUGAGGCACGAAAGCUGGGGGAGCAAACAGGAUUAGAUACCCUGGUAGUCCCAGCCGUAAACGGUGUGCACUUGGUGUGGGGGGAAUUGACCCCCCCCGUGCCGGAGUUAACGCGUUAAGUGCACCGCCUGGGGAGUACGGCCGCAAGGCUAAAACUCAAAGAAAUUGACGGGGGCCCGCACAAGCGGAGGAGCAUGUGGCUUAAUUCGAUGCAACGCGAAGAACCUUACCAGGGCUUGACAUGCAGCUGCUACUCCAUCGAAAGGUGGAUUCCUUCGAGGGUGCUGCACAGGUGCUGCAUGGCUGUCGUCAGUUCGUGCCGUGAGGUGUUGGGUUAAGUCCCGCAACGAACGCAACCCUUGUGUUUAGUUGCCACCGCAGGUGAUGAGCCUGCGAGCACUCUAGACAGACUGCCCGUACAAGCGGGAGGAAGGUGGGGAUGACGUCAAGUCAGUAUGGCCCUUACGUCCUGGGCUGCACACGUGCUACAAUGGUCGGUACAGAGGGAUGCAAUACCGCAAGGUGGAGCAAAUCCCAAACGCCGGCCUCAGUUCGGAUUGGAGUCUGCAACUCGACUCCAUGAAGUUGGAUUCGCUAGUAACGGCGUAUCAGCUACGACGCCGUGAAUACGUUCCCGGGCCUUGUACACACCGCCCGUCACAUCAUGAAAGCCGUCUGCACCCGAAGUCGCUGAGCGAACCCGCAAGGGACGCAGGCGCCGAAGGUGUGGGUGGUGAUUGGGAUGAAGUCGGAACAAGGUA
rnacentral:rRNA from 1 species